rnacentral:misc_RNA from 1 species
CGUAUGCAAUACGUUCUGCAUUCGAAGUGGUGUGAAAUUUGCGUUUAAUCGUCGAAAUAUCUUAAGCGGGAGAGAAAUAACGCAUAAUUUUCGUCAAAAUCGGCGAAUGAUUACGAUUUUAGAGUUUCUGCGAUUGUUUGGACGCUGGAAAACGUAUGCACUAUGUUCUGCAUGCGAAAUGGAUUGAAAAGGGCUUUAAACGUCGAAAUAUCUUAAACGGGAGAGAAAUAACGCAUAAUUUUCGACAUAAUCGUCGAAUGCUAACGAUUUUAGAGUUUCUGUGCUU